rnacentral:lncRNA from 1 species
UCAGAGUUUAAAUAAUGAACAUAGCAAUACCACCAAAGAAACAUUCAUUAAAUAUCAAUAUAAAAUAAAGUGGAAGAAAAAGAGAAAAACAGCAAGCUGCUGAUUGCAGUGUUUGCAACCGAGACUCUGUUCUGCAAACCCUGGGGGAUCAGCGUGGAUUGAGCUAUUACUAGAGGUUGGGGUUAAACACGGUAGGCUAUAGACUUUCUGGGGGAGAAACCAGUCAAUUUCUAUUCUGAAAACCUGGCACUGCCUAAGAAAAUCCAAACCCUUCAAACAGAAGCUUCGCAAGAGUGUAGUUAAUGGCAUAAAAGAGUGCUCAGAAACUCACCCACAGAGACUUUCUGAUAGCUGAUGCCAGGAACAGCAAAAAGCAGAAUGUCCAGUUAGGGAUAGUUAACCAAGCCCCUCUCAAUUCUUCUUCUUGAGGCUAUCCUCUCCUCACUGGUCCCCAUUUUAUAAUCAUGCUCAAGGAGCCUAGGCUUCUCUUCUUCUCUUACAGCAUGUUUAAUAUCACUACUUUAUCCAUUCUGUACUGUUGCAGGCUGAAGGUGACAUUACACUUAGAGGGAUCCACAGAUUCAAGAGGCUGCUUGGGGAGGGCAGCACAGUGAAGUACAAGGACUUUGACAUCAGAGAGGCCUGGAUUCAAGUCCCAAUUUCUGUGUGUGGUAACCAGUCUGCAAGACAGCCUGUGAUGGUUCCUGCCUCCUCGUAUUCAUGUCCUUCUUAGUUCCCUUGCGCAUUGAAUCAGGGCUGGCUCUGGGUGACCAAUAGAAUGUGGAGGAAGUGAUGGGGUGUGAAUUCCGAGGCUAGGUCACAAAAGGCAUUGUAUCUUCCACCUCUUAGAUCUCUCUCUCUGCGGAAGCCAGCCACCGCUCUCCAAGGACUCUCGAGCAGCUCCAUCUACAGAUUCACAUGGAGAAGAAUUAAGGGUUCCUGCCAAUCACCAGCACCACUUUGCCAGCCUUGUAAGUGGGCCACCUUGGAAUUGGAGCCUCCAGUUCCUACUGACAUCUGACUGCAACAUCAUGAGAGACCCUGAGUUUGAACCACCCAGCUGAGCUGCUUCUGAGCUAACCCACUGAAACCGUGAAAGUACCUGAAUGAAACAACACCCAGUAGCCACUAGCACACCUAGCUCCCAGAUCUGUUUUUGAUGCCAUUCUUCAGUAAAAGGAAGCAAGGCUGCUUGGAGAAAUUGCUAUCAAGGACUGGGGUAGAAAAUAUACAAGAUGAAAUUGGAGCAUCUUGUAGUGCUUGAAAACAGUUGGCAUCUGUGUGAAGAUGUGAAUGGAGGAGGCAGAGUAGGCAGUGAGUGCCGCAGCCACAGCUUGUGUUCUCUGCAGCCCUGGCACAGAAGAUAGGAACACUCAUGGGGGAUGCGGCCACUGUGAUGUCUUCCCACACAAGAAGUGCCAAGUGCUUUUCUCAUGCUUUUCUGGAUUGUCCCAUGGUGGACGAGUCAGCAGGAGUGAGAUGGAGCAGCACAGUAGAGGGGCCAGGAUAUCGUUGUACAUAUUCUCAGCUAAGUGAGCACCAAUAGAGGAGAGGGAGAGUCUCAUGGAAGUUCCUUCUAAGCCUUUGGCUCUUUUUACCUUCAACAAGGUGUGCCACCUCUUUGAUCCAGCAAGUGGGAAGAACAGUCCCGGCCUCUUUGCACACAAGACCGUGAUACCAAUGCACCAUCACAGGCCCCACAGGGGAGCUGUCCGCUUCCCCACACAGCUGCUAGGGGCUCUUUUGCAUGUUCCCAACCUUUCCUGCCUUUAUCUGAUAUUCGUUCCUUAGAUCCUGGGAUGAGGAGGUGGACCAGCAGAAGGUGGGCUUGUGAAGGCAGCCCGGGGUCCAAAUCCUCCUGGCUCUUCAGCUUAGCGGGUUAGUUAACAUUCAGAAGCCUUCAUCUCCCAUCUGCAAAAUGGGCAUGUCCAACUCAGAAGCUGCCUUGAAGAAAGGGUCUACCCAGCAUGGUGCGUGGAGCCUAAGCAGUCAGUACUUCAGGACUUCACCCGGCCCCUUUCCAAUAACUGCUGCUGUCGCCCUCACAGGAUGUCACCUUCAGCGUCUGAAAGCUGGGUUUGAUGCGUCUGGAAAGGCGUCCCUGACAGGCGUCGUUGCCAGGAGCCCCUAGUGCCACCAGCAGCCAGCAGGGGAGGGCGUCCUCUGCCCGCUCACUUCUGACCCUUCUCUCGUUGCACCCGGAACAUGGUGCAGCUGGGAGCAGCCUGGGCUGCGCGGAAGGCUCAGAUUUGGGGACGGCCCUUGCCAGUGACUGUGAGCUGGGGUGUCUUGGAAACUCCCAGUCUCAGCUUCUCCAUUUAUAAGAUGAGAAUGAUCAUACCAGACUCAGGCAAGGUUGUUUGUGCAUUAGUGAAAUCAGACGUAUUAAAUAAAGUACCACAUUGAUCGUGGAGUUGUUGAAUAACCAAGAACACGCCUAUCUGUCUCCAAAAAAUAAAUGUUGAAAAUGAUGAGGGCGUGGCUCUACGUUGGGAAGGGAAAUAGGGUGCUUGGAUGAGAGAAUCCUGAGGCAUGGGACAGUGGAGGGAUCCAGGAUAGUUCCAUAAGAAAAUGUGCUUGCACUAUCGUUUCUUUGCAGAGGCUCUUGUGUGCUGGGAGGCUGGCUGGGAUGGGGAGUUGGUGGCAGAGAAUAGUGUCUGUUUUCUUCCUGGUAGCUGGAGAGCUCUGCGACAGAGGACUGAGGUCAUUAGGAACAAGCGGGCAGGUAGGGACAGGCGUUGGAGUGGACUAGCCCUGGUUCCCCUGAAGCUCUCUGGGGUGGAGGUGAAGGAGCUUCUAGGGCAAAGUUUGCCAGUUAAGGAGGAGACACUGUUUGGGCUGCUCCCCGAAAUGGAGAACUUUUGUGUGUGCCUGGAGUGUUUCUAUUUGAGAAAAACUAUUUGAGAGGUGGGAAGGUGAAUUAUUUACCAGUAAGUUUAUCCUUCUCUCCUCAGAUUCUGCAGAACUUGCAGACCCAUAAACAAAUUAGAAAUUGCUUUUCUCCUCUUGCUUAACCUAAAUUUCUUUGUGGAAGCUGAAGGAAAAUAUGAGUAAUUUUCUAACAUAUUCAGUUACAGAGACAGCAAAGAGAAAUAUUCAAGAAAAAAAAAAAACAAACCCUGAGGUGCUACUGACUUCGUGUAUGUCUUAGCUGUAGACAGAAUUGGGAUUUCCUAAUAUGGGUUUGUUCCAGUACAGCCCCUCAGAAAGAUUUUCAUCAGCAAAACACACAUUGGAGGACCAGCUGCUGUGCAGUUGUCUCUUUUAAACCAUUUUCUCACUUCAUUGCUAAUUUUCCCAGCACCUUUCUUCUAACAGUUCUACAUUUUUGAUCUGCAAACAACCUGAGAUUAUUUCUUUCCCUCUUGGUAAAUAAAAGAAAUUUAAAGUAGAUUCUAGAAUGGGUUAGACUGUUUUAUUCCAGAUCCCUCAAAAAGAAGGGAUAAAUACUUCUUUAAAAGAAUCCCUUUAAAAGAAGGGAUAAAGUUUAAGCCAUAAAUACAAUAAAUGGUGAACUGCCUGGUUAACUGAGGGCUGAUUCCCGGAGACGCAACCAGGGGGAGCUUCCUGAGCAAGGUAGCUACUCCCUGCCAAGGUAACCACAGCUUUCUAACAAUAAGUAAAAUGUUUCUACUCAUAUCAUAGGGACCCUACAACAACAUGGCCCUUUUCUCUCUGCCAUGCAAAAAAGCAUCAAGAAAGUAAGAAGGGGCAUUUUUGAGAACAAACUAGAAAUCUUAGCAUCAUGUCUUCUCUCUAAUUAUGUUGGAAACAGGCUUUGAAAAAGAAAAAAACUGAGGAGAAGAUCACUAAAUAGAAUUCAAUAAAAAUGGCUUUUGAUAUUCUGUAGCUUGAAAGCAUUUGUAUUGGGUUUAUGUUCUCAUGGUUUUUGUUUCAAAGAGUUUAAGGUAAAUUUGAAUGUCCCAUUCCUCUGAGAACUCAGAGAAAGCCAGGUUGAUUAAGAAGUAAUUAAGAGGCUGGG